rnacentral:rRNA from 1 species
GGGUUGUGAGGUUAAGCGACUAAGCGUACACGGUGGAUGCCCUGGCAGUCAGAGGCGAUGAAGGACGUGCUAAUCUGCGAAAAGCGUCGGUAAGGUGAUAUGAACCGUUAUAACCGGCGAUGUCCGAAUGGGGAAACCCAGUGGUUGUCCACACUAUCGUUAACUGAAUACAUAGGUUAACGAGGCGAACCGGGGGAACUGAAACAUCUAAGUACCCCGAGGAAAAGAAAUCAACCGAGAUUCCCCCAGUAGCGGCGAGCGAACGGGGAGCAGCCCAGAGUCUGAAUCAGCUUGUGUGUUAGUGGAACGGUCUGGAAAGUCCGACGGUACAGGGUGAUAGUCCCGUACACCAAAAUGCACAGGUUGUGAACUCGAAGAGUAGGGCGGGACACGUGGUAUCCUGUCUGAAUAUGGGGGGACCAUCCUCCAAGGCUAAAUACUCCUGACUGACCGAUAGUGAACCAGUACCGUGAGGGAAAGGCGAAAAGAACCCCGGCGAGGGGAGUGAAAAAGAACCUGAAACCGUGUACGUACAAGCAGUGGGAGCACCUUCGGGUGUGACUGCGUACCUUUUGUAUAAUGGGUCAGCGACUUAUAUUCUGUAGCAAGGUUAACCGUAUAGGGGAGCCGCAGGGAAACCGAGUCUUAACUGGGCGUUAAGUUGCAGGGUAUAGACCCGAAACCCGGUGAUCUAGCCAUGGGCAGGUUGAAGGUUGGGUAACACUAACUGGAGGACCGAACCGACUAAUGUUGAAAAAUUAGCGGAUGACUUGUGGCUGGGGGUGAAAGGCCAAUCAAACCGGGAGAUAGCUGGUUCUCCCCGAAAGCUAUUUAGGUAGCGCCUCGUGAACUCAUCUUCGGGGGUAGAGCACUGUUUCGGCUAGGGGGUCAUCCCGACUUACCAACCCGAUGCAAACUACGAAUACCGAAGAAUGUUAUCACGGGAGACACACGGCGGGUGCUAACGUCCGUCGUGAAGAGGGAAACAACCCAGACCGCCAGCUAAGGUCCCAAAGUCAUGGUUAAGUGGGAAACGAUGUGGGAAGGCACAGACAGCCAGGAUGUUGGCUUAGAAGCAGCCAUCAUUUAAAGAAAGCGUAAUAGCUCACUGGUCGAGUCGGCCUGCGCGGAAGAUGUAACGGGGCUAAACCAUGCACCGAAGCUGCGGCAGCGACACUAUGUGUUGUUGGGUAGGGGAGCGUUCUGUAAGCCUGCGAAGGUGACCUGUGAGGGUUGCUGGAGGUAUCAGAAGUGCGAAUGCUGACAUAAGUAACGAUAAAGCGGGUGAAAAGCCCGCUCGCCGGAAGACCAAGGGUUCCUGUCCAACGUUAAUCGGGGCAGGGUGAGUCGACCCCUAAGGCGAGGCCGAAAGGCGUAGUCGAUGGGAAACAGGUUAAUAUUCCUGUACUUGGUGUUACUGCGAAGGGGGGACGGAGAAGGCUAUGUUAGCCGGGCGACGGUUGUCCCGGUUUAAGCAUGUAGGCUGGUUGUCCAGGCAAAUCCGGAUAAUCAAGGCUGAGGUGUGAUGACGAGGCACUACGGUGCUGAAGUAACAAAUGCCCUGCUUCCAGGAAAAGCCUCUAAGCAUCAGGUAACAUCAAAUCGUACCCCAAACCGACACAGGUGGUCAGGUAGAGAAUACCAAGGCGCUUGAGAGAACUCGGGUGAAGGAACUAGGCAAAAUGGUGCCGUAACUUCGGGAGAAGGCACGCUGGUGUGUAGGUGAAGUCCCUGCGGAUGGAGCUGAGACCAGUCGAAGAUACCAGCUGGCUGCAACUGUUUAUUAAAAACACAGCACUGUGCAAACACGAAAGUGGACGUAUACGGUGUGACGCCUGCCCGGUGCCGGAAGGUUAAUUGAUGGGGUUAUCCGUAAGGAGAAGCUCUUGAUCGAAGCCCCGGUAAACGGCGGCCGUAACUAUAACGGUCCUAAGGUAGCGAAAUUCCUUGUCGGGUAAGUUCCGACCUGCACGAAUGGCGUAAUGAUGGCCAGGCUGUCUCCACCCGAGACUCAGUGAAAUUGAACUCGCUGUGAAGAUGCAGUGUACCCGCGGCAAGACGGAAAGACCCCGUGAACCUUUACUAUAGCUUGACACUGAACAUUGAGCCUUGAUGUGUAGGAUAGGUGGGAGGCUUUGAAGCGUGGACGCCAGUCUGCGUGGAGCCAACCUUGAAAUACCACCCUUUAAUGUUUGAUGUUCUAACGUUGGCCCCUUACCGGGGUUGCGGACAGUGUCUGGUGGGUAGUUUGACUGGGGCGGUCUCCUCCCAAAGCGUAACGGAGGAGCACGAAGGUUAGCUAAUCCUGGUCGGACAUCAGGAGGUUAGUGCAAUGGCAUAAGCUAGCUUGACUGCGAGCGUGACGGCGCGAGCAGGUGCGAAAGCAGGUCAUAGUGAUCCGGUGGUUCUGAAUGGAAGGGCCAUCGCUCAACGGAUAAAAGGUACUCCGGGGAUAACAGGCUGAUACCGCCCAAGAGUUCAUAUCGACGGCGGUGUUUGGCACCUCGAUGUCGGCUCAUCACAUCCUGGGGCUGAAGUAGGUCCCAAGGGUAUGGCUGUUCGCCAUUUAAAGUGGUACGCGAGCUGGGUUUAGAACGUCGUGAGACAGUUCGGUCCCUAUCUGCCGUGGGCGCUGGAGAAUUGAGGGGGGCUGCUCCUAGUACGAGAGGACCGGAGUGGACGCAUCACUGGUGUUCGGGUUGUCAUGCCAAUGGCACUGCCCGGUAGCUAAAUGCGGAAGAGAUAAGUGCUGAAAGCAUCUAAGCACGAAACUUGCCCCGAGAUGAGUUCUCCCUGAGACUUUAAGUCUCCUGAAGGAACGUU